GACGAACGCUGGCGGCGUGCUUAACACAUGCAAGUCGAACGGUGACGACAGGGCUUGCCUUGUCUGAUCAGUGGCGAACGGGUGAGUAACACGUGAGUAACCUGCCCCAGACUCUGGGAUAACCCCGGGAAACCGGAGCUAAUACCGGAUAUGACCCUCGUACGCAUGUGCAGGGGGUGGAAAGUUUUUUCGGUCUGGGAUGGGCUCGCGGCCUAUCAGCUUGUUGGUGAGGUAGUGGCUCACCAAGGCGACGACGGGGAGCCGGCCUGAGAGGGCGACCGGCCACACUGGGACUGAGACACGGUCCAGACUCCUACGGGAGGCAGCAGUGGGGAAUAUUGCACAAUGGGCGGAAGCCUGAUGCAGCGACGCCGCGUGAGGGAUGACGGCCUUCGGGUUGUAAACCUCUUUCAGCAGGGAAGAAGCGCAAGUGACGGUACCUGCAGAAGAAGCACCGGCUAACUACGUGCCAGCAGCCGCAGUAACAC
rnacentral:rRNA from 1 species